GGAGUAACACACAGAAAACUUGGAAAACUGAACAAAAUGAGUAUACACUCUACAUUGUCAUAUUCAUCAAACUGAGGUCC
rnacentral:snoRNA from 1 species